rnacentral:rRNA from 1 species
AACGUAGGACACAAGCGUUAUCCGGAGUUACUGGGCGUAAAGGGCGUUUAGGCGGGUGAUUAAGUUCGCUAUGAAAGCGCCAGGCUAAACCUGGCGAGGCUGGCGGAUACUGGUCAUCUGGAGUAAGGAAGAUGGAGGUAGAAUUCCGCGUGUAGUGGUGAAAUGCGUAGAGAUGCGGAGGAAUACCAGUGGCGAAGGCGGCCUCCUGGUCCUUAACUGACGCUGAAGCGCGAAAGCAUGGGGAGCGAACGGG